GAGGAUAUAGCUCAGUGGUAGAGUGCAUGCCUAGCAUAUGUGAGGUCGUGGGUUCCAUCCCCAGUACCUCCA
rnacentral:tRNA from 1 species